rnacentral:rRNA from 1 species
GACGAACGCUGGCGGCGUGCUUAACACAUGCAAGUCGAACGGUAAGGCCCUUCGGGGUACACGAGUGGCGAACGGGUGAGUAACACGUGGGUGAUCUGCCCUGCACUUCGGGAUAAGCCUGGGAAACUGGGGCUAAUUCCGGAUAGGACUCCGGACUGCAUGGUCUGGGGGGGGAAGCUUUUGCGGUGUGGGAUGGGCCCGCGGCCUUUCAGCUUGUUGGUGGGGUGGUGGCCUACCAAGGCGAAGACGUGUAGCCGGCCUGGGGGUGACCGGCCACACUGGCACUGAGAUACGGCCCAGACUCCUACGGGAGGCAGCAGUGGGGGAAAUUGCGCAAUGGGCGCAAGCCUGAUGCAGCGACGCCGCGUGAGGGAUGACGGCCUUCGGGUUGUAAACCUCUUUCAGCAUCGACGAAGCGAAAGUGACGGUAGGUGCAUAAGAAGGACCGGCCAACUACGUGCCAGCCGCCGCCGUAA